GGAUGAACGCUGGCGGCGUGCUUAACACAUGCAAGUCGAACGAAGCACGGAUACGGAAGUUUUUCGGAACGGAAGUGCCCGUGACUGAGUGGCGGACGGGUGAGUAACGCGUGGGCAACCUGCCCCGUACCGGGGGAUAACAGCCGGAAACGGCUGCUAAUACCGCAUACGUUCCGGAAACCGCAUGGUUUCCGAAAGAAAACUCCGGUGGUACGGGAUGGGCCCGCGUCUGAUUAGCUCGUUGGCGGGGUAACGGCCCACCAAGGCGACGAUCAGCAGCCGGCCUGAGAGGGCGGCCGGCCACAUUGGGACUGAGACACGGCCCAGACUCCUGCGGGAGGCAGCAGUGGGGAAUAUUGCACAAUGGGGGAAACCCUGAUGCAGCGACGCCGCGUGAGCGAGGAAGUAUUUCGGUAUGUAAAGCUCUGUCAGCAGGGAAGAAAGUGACAGUACCUGACCAAGAAGCCCCGGCUAACUACGUGCCAGCAGCCGCGGUAAUACGUAGGGGGCAAGCAUUAUCCGGAUUCACUGGGCGUAAAGGGAGCGCAGGCGGCACGGCAAGUCCGGUGUGAAAACCCGGGGCUCAACCCCGGGACUGCAUUUGGAACUGUUAAGCUGGAGUGUCGGAGAGGCAGGCGGAAUUCCUAGUGUAGCGGUGAAAUGCGUAGAUAUUAGGAGGAACACCAGUGGCGAAGGCGGCCUGCUGGACGAUGACUGACGUUGAGGCUCGAAAGCGUGGGGAGCAAACAGGAUUAGAUACCCUGGUAGUCCACGCCGUAAACGAUGACUACUAGGUGUCGGGGAGCAAAGCUGCCCGGUGCCGCAGCCAACGCAAUAAGUAGUCCACCUGGGGAGUACGUUCGCAAGAAUGAAACUCAAAGGAAUUGACGGGGACCCGCACAAGCGGUGGAGCAUGUGGUUUAAUUCGAUGAUACGCGAGGAACCUUACCCGGGCUCAAACGACGCAGGGAUGUAUGUGAAAGCAUACAGUCCUUUCAGGACCUGCGUCGAGGUGCUGCAUGGUUGUCGUCAGCUCGUGCCGUGAGGUGUCGGCUUAAGUGCCAUAACGAGCGCAACCCCCAUCUUCAGUUGCCAUCAGGUAGAGCUGGGCACUCUGGAGAGACUGCCGGCGCAAGCUGCGAGGAAGGCGGGGAUGACGUCAAAUCAGCACGGCCCUUACGUCCGGGGCGACACACGUGUUACAAUGGCAGGUACAGCGGGAAGCCAGGCGGCGACGCCGAGCGGAACCCGAAAACCUGUCUCAGUUCGGAUCGGAGUCUGCAACCCGACUCCGUGAAGCUGGAUACGCUAGUAAUCGCGCAUCAGCCAUGGCGCGGU
rnacentral:rRNA from 1 species